rnacentral:ncRNA from 2 species
UUGUCUGGUUAAUUCCGUUAACGA